GCAAUCUACCUUUUACAGAGGGAUAGCCCAGAGAAAUUUGGAUUAAUACCUCAUAGUAUAUGAGAAUGGCAUCAUUCUCACAUUAAAGUCACAACGGUGAAAGAUGAGCAUGCGUCCCAUUAGCUAGUUGGUAAGGUAACGGCUUACCAAGGCUACGAUGGGUAGGGGUCCUGAGAGGGAGAUCC
rnacentral:rRNA from 1 species